AUUGAACGCUGGCGGCAGGCCUAACACAUGCAAGUCGAGCGGAUGAAGGGAUCUUGCUCCUGGAUUCAGCGGCGGACGGGUGAGUAAUGCCUAGGAAUCUGCCUGGUAGUGGGGGAUAACGCCCGGAAACGGGCGCUAAUACCGCAUACGUCCUGAGGGAGAAAGUGGGGGAUCUUCGGACCUCACGCUAUCAGAUGAGCCUAGGUCGGAUUAGCUAGUUGGUGGGGUAAAGGCCUACCAAGGCGACGAUCCGUAACUGGUCUGAGAGGAUGAUCAGUCACACUGGAACUGAGACACGGUCCAGACUCCUACGGGAGGCAGCAGUGGGGAAUAUUGGACAAUGGGCGAAAGCCUGAUCCAGCCAUGCCGCGUGUGUGAAGAAGGUCUUCGGAUUGUAAAGCACUUUAAGUUGGGAGGAAGGGCAGUAAGUUAAUACCUUGCUGUUUUGACGUUACCAACAGAAUAAGCACCGGCUAACUUCGUG
rnacentral:rRNA from 1 species